rnacentral:rRNA from 1 species
GACGAACGCUGGCGGCGUGCUUAACACAUGCAAGUCGAACGGAAAGGCCCUGCUUUUGUUGGGUGCUCGAGCGGCGAACGGGUGAGUAACACGUGAGUAACCUUCCCUUGACUUUCGGAUAACUUCAGGAAACUGUGGCUAAUACCGGAUAGGAGCUCCUGCUGCUUGGUGGGGGUUGGAAAGUUUCGGCGGUUGGGGAUGGACUCGCGGCUUAUGAGCUUGUUGGUGGGUUAGUUGCUUACCAAGGCGUUGACGGGUAGCCGGCCUGAGAGGGUGACCGGCCACAGUGGGACUGAGAUACGGACCAGAGGGAAACGGGGGGAAGAAGUGGAAAAUAUGACAAAAUGGGCGGAAGGCUGAUGGAGCAACGCCGGGUGCGGGAUGACGGCUUUCGGGGUGGAAACCGCUUGAGCCUGGGACGAAGAGUGAGUGACGGUAAUGGAUAAAGAAGCAACGGCUAACUACGUG